rnacentral:tRNA from 1 species
GGGGUUGUGGCUCAGUGAUAGAGUGCUCGCCUAGCAUGUGCGAGGCCCUGGGUUCAAUCCUCAGCACCACA